rnacentral:rRNA from 1 species
AGCCUGUCCCAGUUCGGACUGGAGUCUGCAACCCGACUCCACGAAGUUGGAUUCGCUAGUAAUCGCGCAUCAGCCAUGGCGCGGUGAAUACGUUCCCGGGCCUUGUACACACCGCCCCGUCAAGCCAUGGGAACCGGGGGCGCCUGAAGUCCGGGACCGCGAGGACCGGCCUAGGGCGAAACUGGUAACUGGGGCUAAGUCGUAACAAGGUACC